rnacentral:misc_RNA from 1 species
GCCAAAAAAAAAAUCUUUAACAACAAAAAGAAAAGGCUUAUAUAAUCAUAUAUAAUUAGUGACCAAAAUCUUAGAAUAGAUUUAUGAAAGAGAGGGCUAUAUAUGCAUAUAUAUAGUCCCAUACUACUUGUACAAUAUGUUAAAUUAUUGUACAUUUCUCCGCAAUAAUUUCAUGCUGGCAGCAGGGUGCUCUUCGCUGGAAGCUUGGAAGUUCCAUGAUGGAUACAAUUAUCAACAUUGGUUGCUGAUUUAGCAGUAGUAUCAGUGAUUGGCAAUUCCAGGUUGUCAAUUUUCUCAUUUGCCAAUGCUGGUGUUUUUGAGUUUGUUUGAUCCUUGCUUUUACCCCACACAACAGUGUAAAGGCCAAUAACUAUGAAAACUGCUCCAAUUACACUUCCAAUGUGAAGUUGCUCAGCUAGAAUAAUGGUUCCGAGGGCAGCAGUGAUGAUCAUGCACAGAGGGCUAAAAGAGGUUACGAAAACAGGGCCUCUUUCCUUGAUUACCAUUCCUUGCAUAUAGUAUGCAACUCCAGAGCAAACCACUCCAGUGUAAACAGCAGCAAGAAGCCUGGAGUCGAAUCCUAUUUUCCAGGCACUCAUGUCACGUUCCAUCACAAGAGACACAACUGCUCCUUCCACCAUACCCGUCAAGCAUAUCAAGGCUGUGAGGGAGAGCUCUGCUGGGUAUAGCUUCAACGUAAAUGAUUGCAAUAUAAAGAAACCUGCCCAGCCUAGGCAACUUGCCAGGAGCAUUAGUGUCCCUGUAACCCAAUGCUGGUCACUUGGUUGACUGCUGCUGCUUACAUGGUGGCUUCCAGUUCCAUGUGACCUUAUGAAAUCGAUGAUUGGACCUUUGUACAAAGUCAUAACCAUUGCUCCUGCAACAGUAAUUCCUGUUCCAACAAUCUUGGCCACAUCAUGCAUCUUCUUCACGUUGACCCUUUCCAAUCUGAAAAUAAUUGCCAAUAUAAAGGUUAUGGCAGGAAGGACAUUGACUGAAGCAGAUGCAAAUGUUGCUGAUGUGAAUUUCAUUCCAACAUAGUACAAAUUCUGAUCAAGCACUGGCUCUAGAAAACCAAGCAACAUUAUUCUUAGGAAGAUAGGAAGUGUCAACUUUGGCCUUAUUUUCCUUUCAAGAACAAGUGCAAAAGGUGCGAUGACAAGAGUUGCAACUACAUGACGAUACACAGCAAGUAUAUAAUGGCUCAUGCCAUGCUUCAGAGAAACCAUGGUGAUAAUAUACAUUCCUGAAUACCCAAAUUGCAGAGAGACCAUUGCCAGGAAAGGCUUAGCUUUGGCAAGCCCCUGGCACAGAAUCCUACAUGGGUUUCUGUCUGCCAUCUCUCUCUUUAGUUUACUUUCUUUCUUGGAAGUAUAGUGCAU